rnacentral:rRNA from 1 species
UACGUAGGCAGCAAGCGUUGUUCGGAGUUACUGGGCGUAAAGGGUGUGUAGGCGGUUGUUUAAGUUUGGUGUGAAAUCUCCCGGCUCAACUGGGAGGGUGCGCCGAAUACUGAAUGACUUCGAGUGCGGGAGAGGAAAGUGGAAUUCCUGGUGUAGCGGUGAAAUGCGUAGAUAUCAGGAGGAACACCGGUGGUGUAGACGGCUUUCUGGACCGUAACUGACGCUGAGACACGAAAGCGUGGGUAGCAAACAGG